AACGAACGCUAGCGGCGUGCCUAACACAUGCAAGUCGCACGAGAAAUCCCGGGCAACUGGGAGAGUAAAGUGGCGCACGGGUGAGUAGCGCGUGGGUAAUCUACCCUGAAGUUGGGAAUAACACCUCGAAAGGGGUGCAAAUACCGGAUAAUGUCCCCGGGAUUCUGGUCUUGGGGAUCAAAGAUGGCUGAGGCGUGCAAGCUAUCGCUUUAGGAUGAGCCCGCGUACCAUUAGCUAGUUGGUGGGGUAAUGGCCCACCAAGGCCAUGAUGGUUAGCUGGUCUGAGAGGAUGGCCAGCCACACUGGAACUGAGACACGGUCCAGACUCCUACGGGAGGCAGCAGUGAGGAAUCUUGCGCAAUGGGGGAAACCCUGACGCAGCAACGCCGCGUGAGUGAUGAAGGCCUUCGGGUCGUAAAGCUCUGUCAGAUGGGAAGAAAGUUUCGGCGGUGAACAACCGCCGGGAUUGACGGUACCGUCAGAGGAAGCACCGGCUAACUCCGUGCCAGCCGCCGCAGUAA
rnacentral:rRNA from 1 species